rnacentral:misc_RNA from 1 species
UAAUAAGUGUUUUAUGGCACUUUUUAAAUCCAUAUCCACCUUGUGUGCAAUGUCAGUCGAUCUUCUUCAUGGAGAUCGACCAAACAUCAACCUUUAUCUUUUAACUCUUUGUCCUUAAAAAUAUUAUGAAUAAACAAUUCAAAAUA